AUGGCGCCGGUGGGCGGGGGCGGGCGCCCGGGCGGGGGGUCGGCCCGAGGGCGCCUCCUCCUGGCCGCGCUGCUGCUGCUGGUGCUGAUGUGGGCGCGGGGGGCCCGGGGCCAGGGCGACCCCCAGUGGGGCGCCAUCCUGGGCAUGAGACUGGCGAGCUGCAACAAAUCGUGUGGGAUGAACCCGGAGGGUAUCAUCUUCGUGUCCGAGGGCAGCACGGUGAACCUGAGGCUGUACGGCCAGAGGCUGGGCUCCCUCUCCAGCAACCUGAUUUCCUUCACCGAGGUGGACAACUUCGAGGCGAUCCAGAACUCCACCAACUGUCCCGAGCUCACCAAGGACCUGGUCGUCCAGCAGCUGGUGAACGUGAGCCGCGGGAACACGUCCGGGAUGCUGGUGGUGCUCACUAAGUUCCUCCGGAGAAGCGAGAACAUGAAGUUGUAUGCAUUGUGUACCCGGGCCGGGGUGAACGGGCCUUGGCAGAGGUGGACCGAUAAGGAUUCGCUGCUCUUCAUGGUGGAGGAGGCUGGGAGGUUCCUGCCCCUCUGGCUGCACAUCCUCCUCAUUACGGUGCUGCUGGUGCUGUCGGGCAUGUUUUCUGGCCUCAACCUGGGGCUUAUGGCCCUGGACCCCAUGGAGCUGCGUAUCGUGCAGAACUGUGGCACCGAGAAGGAGAGACGCUAUGCCCGCAAGAUCGAGCCCAUCCGGCGCAAGGGCAACUACUUACUCUGCUCUCUGCUUCUGGGAAACGUGCUGGUCAACACCUCCCUCACCAUCCUUCUAGACAACCUCAUCGGGUCUGGGCUCAUGGCGGUGGCCUCCUCCACCAUUGGCAUUGUCAUCUUUGGGGAGAUUGUUCCUCAGGCCUUGUGCUCCCGCCAUGGCCUGGCUGUGGGUGCCAACACUAUCAUCCUCACCAAAUUCUUUAUGCUACUCACCUUCCCCCUCAGUUUCCCCAUCAGCAAGCUCCUGGAUUUUGUUUUGGGCCAGGAGAUUCGCACCGUUUACAACCGGGAGAAGCUGAUGGAGAUGUUGAAGGUAACGGAGCCCUAUAACGACCUGGUGAAAGAGGAGCUAAACAUGAUCCAGGGUGCCCUGGAGCUACGGACCAAAACCGUGGAGGAUAUCAUGACCCAGCUCCAAGACUGCUUCAUGAUCCGCAGCGAUGCCAUCCUGGACUUCAAUACCAUGUCGGAGAUCAUGGAGAGCGGCUACACCCGCAUCCCUGUGUUUGAAGACGAGCAGUCCAAUAUUGUCGAUAUCCUCUAUGUCAAAGACUUGGCCUUCGUGGACCCUGAUGACUGCACCCCCCUCAAGACCAUCACCCGCUUCUAUAACCACCCAGUGCAUUUCGUCUUCCACGACACCAAGUUGGAUGCCAUGCUGGAGGAGUUCAAGAAGGGGAAGUCCCACCUGGCCAUCGUGCAGAAGGUGAACAACGAGGGUGAAGGUGACCCCUUCUACGAGGUGCUGGGCCUGGUCACCCUGGAGGACGUCAUUGAGGAGAUCAUCAAGUCUGAGAUCCUGGACGAGUCGGAUAUGUACACCGACAACCGAAGCCGGAAACGAGUAUCUGAGAAAAAUAAACGUGACUUCUCAGCCUUCAAAGAUGCUGACAAUGAACUCAAGGUGAAAAUUUCACCUCAGCUACUUCUGGCUGCUCAUCGCUUCCUGGCCACGGAGGUUCCCCAGUUCAGCCCCUCUCUGAUAUCAGAGAAGAUCCUGCUGCGGCUGCUCAAGUACCCAGAUGUCAUUCAGGAACUCAAGUUUGAUGAGCACAACAAAUACUACAUCCGCCACUACCUGUACACACGGAAUAAGCCGGCCGACUACUUCAUCCUCAUCCUGCAGGGGAAGGUGGAGGUGGAGGCCGGGAAGGAGAACAUGAAGUUUGAGACAGGUGCCUUCUCCUACUACGGGACCAUGGCCCUGUCCUCGCCCACCUCUGUGCCUUCAACCCAGGUCGGGUGUCCGCCUGGCAAGCGGAACUCCCUGCUGUCCUGGCUCUCAGACCACUCCCCGGCCCACCCCAGCACCCUCAGCCGCUCAGCCUCCCUAAGUUACCCGGAGCGCACGGAUCUCUCAAGCGCGGCCACCCUGGCGGCCAGCGCCAACCAGUUCGGCAGCUCUGUCCUGGGCCAGUACAUCUCCGACUUCAGUGUCCGGGCGCUCAUGGACCUCCAGUACAUUAAGAUCACCCGGCAACAGUACCAGAAUGGGCUGCUGGCCUCACGCAUGGAGAACUGCCCUCAGUUUCCCCUGGAUGGCUGCACUAUUUGCACGGAGAACUUAGCCGGGAAGCCCGAGCUGCCCGUGGUAGAUGAGACCACAACUCUUCUCAAUGAGCGCAACUCUUUACUGCACAAAGCCUCCCAUGAGAGCUCCAUCUGACAGGAGGGCCCGGGGCCCCCCGCCAUCUCCGCGGGGGUCUCCCCAGUGGGCCCACAUGAAGAUAGGGAGCCUUGCAGGCCAGAAGGGGUGCAGAUAGCCUGUCUAAUGGAGCAGCCACAUGGCCCCCAGAAUGUGGGGAGUUCUGGCCUCUUGACAGGGACCUCUGAAUAGCUCUGAAGUAGUGGCUGUCCAGCCCAGGACUGGCAGGGCAGUGGCCCAGCUACUACGAGCAAGGCUGUUUUUUACUGAGAGAAUUUCUGAACUAGGCUCAUUGCUCCUCUUUUUAAAUAUUGUUUGGGGAAAGGAAUGGGGAGGGGAAGACAGGGUUAAGGAACUUUAUUUAAAACAAACAAAAAAAAUUUUUUUUCCACAAAAACUUUAAUUAAAAGGGGUAGGGUUUCUCACCCCGGGAAGCAAUAGCCAUAAUCUGCUCCCAGCCAUGACCUUCUGGCUUACGUCCCUGUCUCAGGGAGCCUACUCUUCCUCCUCUUCCCCUUCCUCUUCCUCCUCCUCCUCCUCCUCCUCCAAAGAUGGUAUCCCAGAGGCCUGCUGGAGGAAGGUUUUUCUCUUGGGGGGAAGACAGUUCCUUUCAGGAAGCAAAGAACCAAAUAGCGCUGAGAACAACUGGCGGGACGCGUGCACUGAGGCUUGUUUGACGUCACUGAGGCCGAGGGAUUCUGGGUAACUGUGAUGAGGGACAUGGUACUCCCGGCUACAGAGAGGAGCACACCUACUCCUGUCAACUGCUGGAUCCUGGAAUUUCCUAGAACUCGGCUGAUGGGCUCUCCUGUUUUCUGGGAGCAGCUUGCUUUCUGAGUCCACAUGGGAGCUUGCAAAGCUGUGUUCCUGAGAGACCUGAGUGCCAGGUGGAGCAGAGCACAUUGGCCUGAACCAAGUGAGUGUGUGAAGUGAAAGGAGCAGGUGCACACACUUCCACAGCUACCUCUUUGCGCACACAGUUACUACCAACACAUGGGCCCUCAACCCCUCCCUUUCCCCACUUACAAUCACUUCUUGCAGAGGGUCAUAAUUAUUUCCAAAUAUUACUGGUCCCAUGACUUCCUCCUCCUAGUGCAAUUUUUCACUUCAUAUUCCAACCUCUGGUUCCUGGGUCGAGCCGUACCCUGGAGCUGGCCCACCCCUGCGUGUCUUCCCAGGUCAGGGAGACCUUCGCAGAUGGCCUCCAAGUGGGUAGGCAAGUCACAGCCACCAUAGCGAAUAACUCAUAUUUAUUUUGCAUAAGAUUUUAAUUUGUAUAUUUUUGUGAUUUAUUUUGGCAUUGUUAUGAGUUUGACUCUCGGGGAGUUUUGUUGUUAUGACUCUUGUGUCUUUUGUCACAAGACAAUGAUAAUAUUUGCUAAACAAUAUAUGGAAUUUAUUUUUGAUUGGUAAUAAAAAAUGAAAUAUGAA